UACGAAGGGGGCUAGCGUUGCUCGGAAUCACUGGGCGUAAAGCGCACGUAGGCGGCUUUUUAAGUCAGGGGUGAAAUCCUGGAGCUCAACUCCAGAACUGCCUUUGAUACUGAGAAGCUUGAGUCCGGGAGAGGUGAGUGGAACUGCGAGUGUAGAGGUGAAAUUCGUAGAUAUCGCAAGAACACCAGUGGCGAAGGCGGCUCACUGGCCCGGAACUGACGCUGAGGUGCGAAAGCGUGGGGAGCAAACAGG
rnacentral:rRNA from 1 species